rnacentral:rRNA from 1 species
CCUACGGGUGGCAGCAGUGAGGAAUAUUGGUCAAUGGGCGCAAGCCUGACCCAGCAAUGCCGCGUGAAGGAAGAAGGCCCUCGGGUUGUAAACUUCUUUUAUCAGGGACGAAGGAUGUGACGGUACCUGAUGAAUAAGCUCCCGCUAACUACGUGCCAGCCGCCGCGGUAAUACGUCGGGAGCAAGCGUUAUCCGGAUUUACUGGGUGUAAAGGGCGCGUAGGCGGGAUGGCAAGUCAGAUGUGAAAUCCGGGGGCUCAACCCCUGAACUGCAUUUGAAACUGUCGUUCUUGAGUACGGGAGAGGUAGACGGAAUUCGUAGUGUAGCGGUGAAAUGCGUAGAUAUUAGGAGGAACACCAGAGGCGAAGGCAGUAAACUGGACAGCAACUGACGCUGAGGCGCGAAAGCGUGGGGAGCAAACAGGAUUAGAUACCCGAGUAGUC